GCCUGGGUGGCUCAGUUGGUUGAGCAUCUGACUUUGGCUCAGGUCAUGAUCUCACAGUUCAUGGGUUCAAGCCCCACAUCAGGCU
rnacentral:tRNA from 1 species